rnacentral:lncRNA from 1 species
CAGAGUAGGCCCCUGCUCCCCAGGCCUCUGAGAUGGCGUCUCUCUUCCCAUUAUGAGUCGGCUUCAGAAAACCAGCCCUCAGUAUUCAGAGGCUUCACCGCUUUUGCAGCCCACGGCCCGGCUGUCGGGGUGCAGGCGUGCGCCGCUUGCCACGCACAGGGUGUGACGGUUACAAAGGGCUUCACCCCACGCACUGCCUCGGCCCCGGUUUAUUAUGACCCAGUCUUCCCGCUCUGCACUGUAAGUGCAGACCACCCGGCACGCGGGCUCGCGGUUCUGUUCCAUCGCAGGGAAAAGCAAGUCGAGAGAAGCAGCCAGGAAGGACUACUGCAUGAAGGCAGACACCCCUUUGGUUCACAGGGGCCGGACCACGGGUCAGCCUGGCUCCUCUCCAGACCCUGCCUGAGGGCCCCCUGCCCAGCAGAAGCAAAGGAAAAUACUAAAACGGAAAAAGACAACCACGAGCCUCCCGUCCAUGUCACACACCCUGCCCCCCGAACACACAGAGCCCGGGAUCCCACCAGAGGGGCAAGCUGGUAGUUCCACAUGCCGUCCUCAGAGGCGUCACCGACAAAACCACUAGCCUUCUCCGUGUCAAGCCCCGGGUGGACCCUCGGACAAGCACAUCCUGACCGGGGACAGCCCAGAAAUGGCAACUCAGAAAUGACCGGACUCAGAAAUGACGGCCCCCCCGCGGAGCCUCAGGGACCCAACACCUAUCCCAGCCUUGGCACCUGCUCGGCACCCACGCCCCCUCCUGCCCCACCAGGCUCCUCCCCUGCCCUUCACUUUGCUUAUCUUCGCACCAGAAGAUGAGAGCAAAGGCACACCCAAUCUCAUCAGGCUUUCCCAAUUACUUUUGCCUGAAGCCCCAUGAGUAGGAGGAGCGCCCACCAAGCCGUAAGGACGAUCGAGAGGAAAGAAAACAAGGGGAACCUACACUUUGGGUGGUUCCCAGAAAUACGACAUGGAAGAGGUCUGACCCCCGGGAAGGCUAGAGACUGGACA